rnacentral:rRNA from 1 species
AGCGAACCAGUACCGUGAGGGAAAGGUGAAAAGAACCCCGAGCAGGGGAGUGAAAGAGAUCCUGAACCCUUGCGCCUACAAGCGGUCGGAGCUGCUUAAUGCAGUGACGGCGUGCCUUUUGCAUAAUGAACCUACGAGUUACCAUCACAGGCAAGGUUAAGUCUCAUGAGGGACGCAACCGCAGUGAAAGCGAGGCUGAACAGGCCGUUUAGUCUGUGGGGGUAGACGCGAAACCAAGUGAUCUACACUUGUCCAGGUUGAAGUCCCGGUAACACGGGAUGGAGGACCGAACCAAUAAGCGUUGAAAAGCUUCUGGAUGAGAUGAGUGUAGGAGUGAAAGGCCAAUCAAACUUGGAGAUAGCUCGUACUCCCCGAAAGGCAUUUAGGUGCCGCGUCGGACGUUCAGCGUGAGAGGUAGAGCGACCGAUAGGACAAGAGGGCUUCACCGCCUAUCGAGUCCUGACGAACUCCGAAUGCUCACGCUCCGCAGUCCGGCAGUAAGGGGACGGGUGCUAAGGUCCGUUCCCGAGAGGAGAAGAAUCCAGACCGCCGUCUAAGGUCCCGGAAUUCUGUCUAAGUUAGUCUAACGAAGUGGGGUCUCAGUGACAGCCAGGAUGUUGGCUUGGAAGCAGCCAUUCAUUCAAAGAGUGCGUAACAGCUCACUGGUCGAGAGUCCCUGCAUGGAUAAUAAUCGGGUAUAAGACAGAUACCGAAGGCGCGGGAUAGCAGAGAAAUGAAAAGUAUCGGUAGGGGAGCAUUCCAUAUCCGUCGAAUGGUGCGGGUAACUGAUCCUGGAGGAUAUGGAAAAGCAAAUGUAGGUAUAAGUAACGAUAAGGAGGGUAAGAUUCCCUCCCGCCGCAAGACUAAGGUUUCCCGGGCAAUGUCAAUCAUCCCGGGGUCAGUCGGGUCCUAAGUCUCAGCCGAACGGCGAGGGCGAUGGCAGACACGGUCAACAUUCCGUGACUACCUUUAUGAGCGAUGCGGAGACGGAGCAGUGACACUUCCGCGAACCGACGGAAUGGUUCGUUGAAGAGUGUAGACGUAGAUCACGGUAGGCAAAUCCGCCGUGAGAGUCGAACUUGAAAGUACAGGGUCCUCUUCGGAGGAACUUGAUAGCGAAGGUAAUCAUACUCCCGAGAAAAUCCGCUAAGCAAUCUUAAAGGUACCCGUACCGCAAACGGACACACGUAGUCGGGUAGAACAUACUAAGGCGUUGAGAGAUUCAUGGUUAAGGAACUAGGCAAACUGACCCCGUAACUUCGGGAUAAGGGGUCCUCGUGAUGAGCGAGGCGCAGAGAAUAGGUCCAGGCAACUGUUUAACAAAAACACAGGGCUGUGCGAACUCGAAAGAUGAAGUAUACAGCCUGACACCUGCCCGGUGCCGGAAGGUUAAGAGGAGAUGUCAACCUUUGUGGCGAAGCAUUGAAUUGAAGCCCCGGUAAACGGCGGCCGUAACUAUAACGGUCCUAAGGUAGCGAAAUUCCUUGUCGGGUAAGUUCCGACCUGCACGAAUGGUGUAAUGAUCCGGACGCUGUCUCAACCAUGAGCUCAGUGAAAUUGUAGUAUCGGUGAAGAUGCCGAUUACCCGCGAUGGGACGAAAAGACCCCGUGAACCUUUACUACAGCUUAGCAUUGACCUUGGUCAUCCGAUGUGUAGGAUAGGCCGGAGGCUUUGAAGCGGCGUCGCCAGGCGUUGUGGAGCCAUCCUUGAAAUACGGCCCUUUGGCUGUCUGAGGUCUAACUCGCUAAUGCGAGGACACUGUUUGGUGGGUAGUUUGACUGGGGUGGUCGCCUCCAAAAGCGUAACGGAGGCUUC